GAGGGGGUAAAUUAAUAAUUUAAUAAUAAUAAAAAAAAUUUUAAUAUUAAAAAAAAAUAAUGGGGGUUAGAGUAUUUUUAAUAGAGAAAAUUAUUAGUUUUAUAGUAAAAUAUUACUGUAAAGGAAAUUAUAAAUAAUUGAAAAUUAAUUUAAUAAAAAGUAAAUUUAAUUUAUUGUAUCUUGUGUAUCAGAGUUUAUUAAAUAUUAAUAAUUUAUUUAAAUAAAUCUCGAAUUUAAAAGAGUUAAUUAAUUAAAAAAGUUAAUGUUGAAUAAUUAUUUUAAAUAAUUAAUUAGAAAUGAAAUGUUAAUCGUUUUUAAAUAUAUCUAGUUUUUUUAGAAAAAAAUUUAAUUUUAAAUUUAAAUAAUUUUAUAAUUUUUUAAUUAAUUAUAAAAAUUUAAAAUUUAAUAUUUUAGGGGAUAAGCUUUAAAUUAAAAUAUUAUAAUUAAUGAAAAUAAAAAUUAAAAUUUUUAAAAUUUAUAUUGUUUAAAAAUUAUAAUUUAUUAUAAAAAAUUUUAAUUAAAAUAAAAUUUAAAUUAAAUUUAAUUUUUUAUAAAAAAAUAAUUUUUAAUUAAAAAAAAAUUAGUAAUAAUGAUAAAAUUAGUAUAUUAUAUUUAAUAAAAAAAAAAUUAGUUAAAAUUAAAUUAAAGGAAUUCGGCAAAAUUUUAUAUUCACUUGUUUAUCAAAAACAUGUCUUUUUGUUAAUAAUUUAAAGUCUAAUCUGCCCACUGAUAUAAAUUAUUAAAGGGCUGCAGUAUAUUGACUGUACAAAGGUAGCAUAAUCAUUAGUCUUUUAAUUGAAGACUUGUAUGAAGGAUUUGAUGAAAUAUAAACUGUCUCUAAUUUAUUAGUAUAAAAUUUAAUUUUUUAGUAAAAAAGCUAAAAUAAUAUUAAAAGACGAGAAGACCCUAUAGAGUUUUAUAAUUAAAUUAAUUAAUAUUAUUUAUAUAUAAUUAAAAAAAAAUUAUUUUAAUUAUUUUAUUGGGGUGAUAAAAAAAUUAAAAAAACUUUUUUUAAAAAUAAACAUAGAUAAGUGAAAAAAUGAUCCAUUAAUAGUGAUUAUAAGAAAAAAUUACCUUAGGGAUAACAGCGUAAUAUUUUUUUUUAGUACAAAUAAAAAAAAAAGUUUGCGACCUCGAUGUUGGAUUAAGAUAAAAUUUAAAUGCAAAAGUUUAAAAUUUUGAUCUGUUCGAUCAUUAAAAUCUUACAUGAUCUGAGUUCAAACCGGUGUAAGCCAGGUUGGUUUCUAUCUUUAAUAAAAAUAAAUAUUUUA
rnacentral:rRNA from 1 species